GAGAGAAUAACUCAGGAGGUAGAGUGUCGGUCUGUCACGCCGAAAGCCAUGGGUUCGAGUCCCAUUUCUCUCG
rnacentral:tRNA from 1 species